GCGUGAGGGAUGAAGUAUCUCGGUAUGUAAACCUCUUUUGCCAGGUCGUCGAGGCCUGGAGAAUAAGCACCUACUAACUACGUAAUCCCGCUAAUCAUAUUAAUUAUGAGGAAAGCGGGAUGGUGCGUAGUAUAAAUUCCACUAUAUGCUGGAAAAUCUGACGAAGACGAUAGUACCCCGCUUUCAUGUAACCAUGAAGGUUUGGCGGGGUGAAAAUUUAUCGUUAAACCCAUGAAGACACGCGAUUGGUCGGUACGGGUUGGCAGACAAUCAGCAGGAAAGACUACCGCAUUUUUUAAAAAAUGCGGAAAUCUCAAAUCACAAAACUCAAUGACCAACUCAUACAUUGUUGGGAUUUGGAGCUUAAGAUUUGUGAUUUCUCAAAAUGUUAUACAUUUUGAGUUGUAUCCUCAGAGACUACACGUGGAACCCGCCGAUGAGGCGAGGAUGAUAUAGUCCAAGUUUGAAACAUUUAUUGUUUCAGGCCAGCAGUCGCGGUAAUACGUAGGGUGCAAGCGUUAUCCGGAAUUACUGGGCGUAAAGAGUCGCGUAGGCGUUUUCAUACGUCAUGUCUUAAAUAGUGAGGCCUAACCUCAUCGUUGGAUGUGAGACUAUGAGAAUUUGAAGUAGAUAGAGGUACCUGGAACUCGUGGUGGAGUAGUGAAAUGCGUUGAUAUCACGAGGAACACCAAAGGCGAAGGCAAGGUACUGGGUCUUACUUGACGCUGAGGCACGAAAGCUCGGGGAGCGAAGCAGAUUAGAGACCUGCGUAGUCCGAGCCCUAAACGCAUGGAUGCUAGAUUGUCCGCCCUAGGCGGACUGUCGUAAGCUAACGCGUUAAGCAUCCCGCCUGGGGACUACGAGCGCAAGCUUAAAACUCAAAGGAAUUGACGGGGACCCGCACAACCAGUGGAGCAUGUGGUUCAAUUCGAGACGAAGCGAAAGACCUCACCAGGGUUUGACAUGUACCUGCAUACGUCAGAAAUGACGUAGCCUUCGAGGGUGGUACAAAGCUGCUGCAUGGCUGUCGUCAGCUCGUGCCGUGGGGUGUUGGCUUAAGUGCCAGAACGAGCGCAACCCCCAUCCAAUGUUAGAUAUUCAUUGGAGACUGCCCCCUUCUCUGAGAAAACAAUACUUUUGUUUUUUGAGGGAAGGGGGAGGAAGGAGGGGACGACGUCAAGUCAGCACGGCGCUUAUGCCCUGGGCGACACACAUCCUACAAUGGCGAAUAACAACGAGAUGCAAGCACGCGAGUGCAAGCUAAUCUCUGAAAUUUCGCCUCAGUUCAGAUUGCAGUCUGCAACUCGACUGCAUGAAGUUGGAAUUGGUAGUAAUCGCGGAUCAGCAUGGUCGCGGUGAAUACGUUCUCGGGUCUUGUACACACCGCCCGUCAAGUCAACAAAGUUGGUAGUGGCUGAAGUAUUUCGCAAGAAGUCCUAAGCCAAGAUCAGCGAUGGGGACUAAGUCGUCGGCCUAUAGUAUUAGGCAUUGCGACCUCA
rnacentral:ncRNA from 1 species